rnacentral:rRNA from 1 species
AGAGUUUGAUCAUGGCUCAGAUUGAACGCUGGCGGCAGGCCUAACACAUGCAAGUCGAGCGGUAGCACAGAGAGCUUGCUCUCGGGUGACGAGCGGCGGACGGGUGAGUAAUGUCUGGGAAACUGCCUGAUGGAGGGGGAUAACUACUGGAAACGGUAGCUAAUACCGCAUAACGUCGCAAGACCAAAGUGGGGGACCUUCGGGCCUCAUGCCAUCAGAUGUGCCCAGAUGGGAUUAGCUAGUAGGUGGGGUAACGGCUCACCUAGGCGACGAUCCCUAGCUGGUCUGAGAGGAUGACCAGCCACACUGGAACUGAGACACGGUCCAGACUCCUACGGGAGGCAGCAGUGGGGAAUAUUGCACAAUGGGCGCAAGCCUGAUGCAGCCAUGCCGCGUGUGUGAAGAAGGCCUUCGGGUUGUAAAGCACUUUCAGCGGGGAGGAAGGCGUUAAGGUUAAUAACCUUGGCGAUUGACGUUACCCGCAGAAGAAGCACCGGCUAACUCCGUGCCAGCAGCCGCGGUAAUACGGAGGGUGCAAGCGUUAAUCGGAAUUACUGGGCGUAAAGCGCACGCAGGCGGUCUGUCAAGUCGGAUGUGAAAUCCCCGGGCUCAACCUGGGAACUGCAUUCGAAACUGGCAGGCUAGAGUCUUGUAGAGGGGGGUAGAAUUCCAGGUGUAGCGGUGAAAUGCGUAGAGAUCUGGAGGAAUACCGGUGGCGAAGGCGGCCCCCUGGACAAAGACUGACGCUCAGGUGCGAAAGCGUGGGGAGCAAACAGGAUUAGAUACCCUGGUAGUCCACGCCGUAAACGAUGUCGAUUUGGAGGUUGUGCCCUUGAGGCGUGGCUUCCGGAGCUAACGCGUUAAAUCGACCGCCUGGGGAGUACGGCCGCAAGGUUAAAACUCAAAUGAAUUGACGGGGGCCCGCACAAGCGGUGGAGCAUGUGGUUUAAUUCGAUGCAACGCGAAGAACCUUACCU